GUAACCACUGCGGAACAGUCUAGAUGGCUACAUGCGCGUCCCUCAACACGCUCUCUGGCCGCCUGCUCACCUCCAUCGAAUCCCUCCAUGUCCCUGGUCGAUCUCCCACCUCAUCGGCCUCCCUCUCGGAGCUCCUCCUGGCCGAUCCCCAUGCCUGGUCAGAGGUGGAGUCACCGUGGGGAAUUUUGGCCCCUGAUUUUUUUCUCCCAUCCAACAGCCCACCACCAGCACGGGCACAUCACCGCGCCGGCUCGCCUAAUUUCCCACCCUUUUCUCCCUCUGCGACGAGGUAACCUGGAGGAGAGCUUCAGGCGCAGCCGCGAGGGGGAGGACCUCGGGGAGGCACGCCACGAAGAACCCGACCCAGGAGGCGGCAUCCAAGGAAUGGCCUAGCGGGAAGGAGACGAGUGCGAGCGGGCCGGGUGCCGGACGAGGGCGCCCCCCGCUAGCGCGGACGCGGACGUGAGCGCCGAGCCGGAGUCCGUGAGCGCGGAUGCGAGAGCGAGGUGGAGAGGCGCGAUUCCCCGUGGAAAGCGAGGAGCGCGCCCAUGGUGUGCACAAGCAGAGCACAACCAUGUGAGGAUCCGCGGCAGGUCGACCUGCACGAAGGGACAGGCUCCCUCUCUUGGCCCUGGCUUCCGCGACCAAUACCAUCUACAGACUACAGUUAGGGAUGGAUCCGGCUAGGAUUUUACAAAUUUGGGCGUAGUCUGCAACUGCUGAACUACAUCAAUCACCCUUUAAUCCCAGUGGGCAGUGGCCAAGGAACACAUGAGCGUCAAAGAUCUGAAGCCAAAUUGCUUGACUUAUCCAGUACCAGGCAGAGGUAAAAGUAUACAAAACCGAGAAACUAUAGCAUGCCAUCUGUAUCAGUUUGCAACCGAGUUUCCUCUUCUCAGAACUCCAGUGAAUUGGAUUCCUCUAAGCACAUGUCCGUAGUCAUUGACUCAUUGGCAGACCUCUUAUAGUAUGUAGUUCUUCCGAGAAUCUGUAAUUAACAAUACUUUUUGUUUGUGAAGUAUAAAUUUUAAAAGCAAGUUAAUAUUCAAUAUUUCCCUGAAUUAGUUCAUGAUUUACAACUUUGACAUGUUUGAGACAUUAAUUAAGAAGUGCAUGGCUAUCGCUUCAAGGGCUGCAUUACAUUUUCUCACAAGUAACUAAUAAUUAACUAUAUUGCCUCUUCGAUUCCUAUCAAAGAUUUCUAUUAGAGUUUGAACAGUUGAAAUCUUUAGAAAAAAAAUCUACGGAAGUUGUUUGAUUUGUUGGAUUUUUUCCUAUAGAAAAUCAGCUAAUUAUUCUAUCUCACUGAAAUAAUCAUUUGUUUCUCAUUUGGUGAAAGCAAACAAAUUUCAGUGAAAUUAUACCAUGUAUGGUUAGAGUGGGCAUGACACUGUAAUCAUAAAUUUACCUAUUCCAUCGUUUUGGAAUCUCGCAAAUAAAUAAUAUAAUUGAUAAGUUAACAUAUCGCCAAGACAAUGAUCUGUUCAUUAUGUGAAUAUCCAGCGUGUAUGUUGAAAGCAGUGUACACCUUCUGCCAAGAGUACUGUGCGUACUGCACUUAGUAAAAUAUUUGUUUGUGAUUAGUAGUCUUUACUCACACUGAAAACAUCAGGAUAGUCCUCCAGUUCUAAAUUCAUUCGCAUUAAAACUAUUACUUUGUAUUCCUUUACUUGAAAACCGGUAAAUUAAUACUGUUACAAGUUUCCACUGCAUGGGCUACUGUAACUCCACUUUAGAAAGCAGUCAUUAGAAGGAUCAAACUUGGCACAAAUGUAAUAUUAUGGCCACAUAGUCUGUUGGGAGAGUGCCAUGAACAUGUGGGCACGUAAAGAUAUCUUUGACGACCUUUCAUGCUUAGUAAAGCCUGAAAUAAUGGUAAUGGAUGUAUAGAGAAUGAGCACAAGUUUCCUUUACGUCUUAUCUUUUAGUUGAUUCUCUACCUAAAUGCUGCGAUUUCUACAAAAAAUCCAUUGCCAAAGUUUGACAAGCAAGAAAAAACAACUUGAGCCAAAAAAAAGAAAAAUUAUCUACUUCAUUCUCCAAGAAAUUUAUUUAUGCUUGGUGGGAACAAAAAAAUGUCCGCCAUUUUGUCCUUUCUUUUCCUUAGUACUUGUGGAAUAAGUUAUGGGCAGGGAAGAACACGAGGUGCACGGAUUCAUCCUCUCAGUCCGGCAAGGUUUGCUAAUUUCUUUGGAUCGUUUCUUUCACAAUAUGGAUGUACUUGAUUUGCUUGAUCUUUCACUUACAUGUGUUUCCUGUGUUCUUGAUACCAUGCCAAGAGUUCAAAAUUAUUUUUGGUUUAUGGGAUGGAUCUUCUGUAUAAAUUUCUAUGCAGAUUUCAGUUUUCUGGUAAGCUUCCGCAUAGGGUGGGGUGACAGAAGAUCCAUAGAAAAUUGACCCUAAUAAGGAUGAUGUCGGGGGAUGUCAAAAGAAGAUUUGCAGCCUUCGGGGAUAUUGUUGAGGAGGUUCAAAAAUGCAGAGGAAGGUGAGGUGACGCACAAGCAAAAGUCUUUUUUUGGCUUUUGAAUUAAAUUUGUCAUAUACGGCUUUGGUUACUGAGGCGAAAUCUCUCAGCAGUUGUAUGCUUAUCUUCUCUUACUGGCAUUUUGUAGGAGAGCCAUAGCUGUGAUUCUUCGAGUUUCAUAUGAGUAUUAUUAAUCUGUUCUUUCCUUAUUUAUAUUUUCUUUUUUUAAUCUCUCUGCUUCUUUCUAUAAAGAUGGAAGGAUGCAGAAUUAUUUAUUAAAAAAUGAUUACGAAGGAACAAAUUCCUAAGUAUUAGGUACUGUAAUUUUGAUUCUAAGAACUUAUAUAUGAUUGUGCUCUGCUCCAGCUCUCCUUAAAUAAAUUAACCCGUUAUUAAUACCCAAUUUUCUUAAGUCAAAUGUAAUAUUCUACUAUUAUUUUUGUUGAUUAUACUCUGCGUCUGAUCUUAGGAGUCCACAUUUUUGUUACUUCACUCAGCUAGCAACUUUCUUCGUUUCCUAAUCUCUCUCAAAAGGAGUCCACAUUUUUGUUACUUCACUCAGCUAGCAACUUUCUUCGUUCCUAAUCUCUCUCAAAUGGUUAUUGGUAAAAUAUAAGUCUUGAAUAUGAGCAUUAUUAAACUACUGCUGGCGAAAGCGAGAAUGUUCUUCUCUGCACAUGAGAAACAACAUAGGCAAUUUGCUUAUCAUUCAAUGUUUGGCUUUCAUAUGUAAUCCAAUUGAAUGUGGUUCCAUGGUUUUGCUUUGAUCUCUAUACUGUAAGCUUAACUUGGAAUUUUAGUGUAGAACCAAUGGUCGUGGAUACAAAAAUAUAUCAAUGCCUCAACACUUUCUGCCAUGGACAAUUUAUUUGGUUCUCCAUACCAUAAAACAUAGCAUUAUUGUGGGCGUAUCAGGCCAAUGAAAUCCAAGAUGAUGGAAGCAAAAUGUAUCAAUGAGGAAUGGCAAAAUUGUUUGAUAUAUAUCCAGAUGUUAGUCUUCUGUCUAUCUGUACUAGCAGCAGAGAAGAUUUUGUGUGGAAAAAAGAGGAGUACGGGUUUACUAUGAAGUUCCACGCGCAGUAACCACCUAUUUUAUCAGCUGACGGUUUUAGCUGCUACAGCAACUUCUAAUGAGCACUUGAGUUCUGCUCCUUGAAAAGGUUGUAACCACAUAUCCAGAGUAUGUACUAUGUGAACUCUUUGUAAGCGGCGUGCCAUCAUUGUUAACGGCAUCGUAAGUGUAGUCCAUGUGUAUUGCAUAAAUAUGUUCCAUAGUCUAAGAGUAUAGGUUUUAUGAACCUAUAGUUUGUAAAUUCUGAAUGCCCACACUUCGUGAUCUACCUAUCUAGCUUACUUUCGGUUA